CUCUUAAAGCCGUUCUCAGUUCGGACUGUAGGCUGCAACUCGCCUACACGAAGCUGGAAUCGCUAGUAAUCGCGGAUCAGCACGCCGCGGUGAAUACGUUCCCGGGCCUUGUACACACCGCCCGUCACACCAUGAGAGUCUGUAACACCCAAAGCCGGUGGGAUAACCUUUAUAGGAGUCAGCCGUCUAAGGUAGGACAGAUGAUUAGGGUGAAGUCGUAACAAGGUAAC
rnacentral:rRNA from 1 species